UUUUAUCCCUGACACAAACCUCUGUUGCCAAGGUUCUGGAGAGGGAAGGGAUUUGGAAGGAGGAAUCGUUCAAGACCCCAUCAGCAUCAACUCAUAAUCUGACACCGUCUGUUGGGCGUAGCCUGGAACAGCAGUCUGUGUCCAAGGAGUGCGUGCUCACUGGCAGACCAGUACAUGAAACUGCUCUUUUCUGAAGUCUGAUGCAAUAUGCAGUUGAGGCUUAAAUGACUCGGAGGAGGAAGGAUGCUUUGAAAUGCACCAGCAUGGAGAGAAGUAUUUCUCAGCAUUAUUUACUUUUUGGUUAUCCUGCUGCUGCUGUGACUGCUGAUACUGACCUGCUCUGACCUGUGGUUUAGAACAACCUCUGAUGAUUUGGUUCUCCUUUCUUGAAGGCAGAGGACUAUUCAUAAGCACUCUGCAUCUCAUUGCUCUUUUCAGUGUGCUCAAGCGUGUCUGGAGAGGGACUGAGGUGCCCUUGGCUCCACUGGAAACAUUAUGUCAUCAUCUCAACAAGAUGUUGUAAUGUCAGGAAAGGAUCAAUACUUUGAUGAGGAGCUGCUGGCUCAAAACCACUUUGUUAUUUGAUAAAGGACCACUUGGAACAUUUUCCAAAGCAUUUCCCAUGGUAUGAAGCUCUAGGGACUGGAUUUGUCUCUCUGCCUAGGAAACUGAGUUGAUUCAUCUGUAAAUAUGUGUCUGCCAACCUCAGAUAACAAGAAAAAUUGCACCUUCUGCCCACGUUAGGCUUCAGCCUUUCAGCCAUUUCAAUAAUAUACUGUCCAUGAAGGAAGCGCUUCACAUACCAACAAUCAGUUCAGCGGGGAAGGGAGGAAAAGGUUUUAGCCUUUUUCCUGCUGCCAACACCAGACAAGUCUAGCAUUUAGUCCAUAUGACCGCACAGCCCUGGGAGUGCUGCAUUGUGUGGGGUGCAAGGGCUGGCAGCCCCACAGGAGCUUGACUGCAAAAGUGUUUUGUGCUGCAGUCCUUGCGUCUGCCCCCAGCCAGCUUCCCUGGCAGGUUGCAGUGCCAGUGCUGUCAACCGUGUCUGCCUCAGGAUCUCCAGCUGAGCCAAACCAGGACAGCCGCAUGCCUCUGGGUCAAUGUGUUGUGAAAGGCAGGACAGCUAGAGCUAAAGGGCUCUCCGUUGAAACAAGCUCAGCUCUCUGCUGAGAAACAAGUCUCGGAAGAGAUUAGAGUUGUUCAGAGUGCUAAACCGACAUCACUUUGGAUAAGACCACUAAUAUACAAUGAUCAAGGAUUAUGCAGUACAUGAGUGGAAUGGAUUUAAAAAAGAAAGGGCUGGCCAAGCCAUUUAGACUUUUUGUAUCCUCUUCAUGCAGUCAGGGAUGGCUUUAGCAGAAAGGCUGCAUGGAAGUCCUGUAGCUCUGUAUGAAUAGCCCGUCAUCUGAGGGAAAAACACUACCUUGCUAUGUAUUGCAGCUUCAUUUAACUCUCCUGUUGGCUCAUUUAAUCCUCCUGUUGGCUCAAGUCCUAAGUAACCCAAUUUGAGGAUUUAUAUGCCCAACGACAAGGAAUUAUUUUGUGAAGGUUUUUUCUUUUUUCUUUGAAGAGGAAAAUAAUGACUCCAAUAACAUUAAGAGAUAUGGAAGAGGACAAAGGGAUGACUCAGCAUCUUUUCAUGAUAGACAGAUGUACAUACCACUUUUUACAUUAAUUGUCUGUUUAUACUAUGGUUGAUAAAAACUCAGUACCUAGUGCAGUUUUGAAUGAAUUUGAGUCAUUCUAAUAUAAUUUGCUCAUUUGUGUUAUGAUAGUAAACCUAAAAGAUAUUUACCUUGACAGAAGGCAAGCUUAACGAUGUCAAAUCACUUGUAUCAUACUUGUUCAGGUCUAAUUUGUGAAAAAUGCUCCCUGGUUCUUCCUUGUGUUCUGGGGCACUGAAAAUAUUGAAGAAUUCAUGUCCAUUCUAGCUCAAUUUAACUGUUAUACACCACUAUUUAAACAUUGAUUAUAACAUUUGGAUUGUAAGAAAGAGCUUCAGAAUUAUUGACAAAGAUAUUGCUUCAUCUUAUUUUCUUCAAACCUAAACAAUGCAGAGCCUGCUUUUCAUACAGAAACAACGGGAUUCUCUACAGCCAGAAGGCAAGAGCAGCCUGAAUACUUAUUUCACCUUAAAAGAAUUGCUCAGUGUUUGUUUGCUAUUUUGUUUCUUUCAACGGUGAAGCCAUAUGAUCUUUUCCUCUGGCAGAAGAAACAGGCAAGCAACUUUGUCAGUGCUGUUGUGAAAAGCCUUUCAUAGCAUCCAUCAACUCCUGCAAACUUCAGUGGGAUUGUUCAUCUCUUUGAUACCAAGGAAAAAGGAUCAAUAUCUGAGAGAUCUUUUGCAGGCCUAGGAGUCAUAGAGAAAUCAGCCAGCAAUAGGCAUCUGUGAUUCUCUGAAUGUUUAUUCUUCCAUGCAGCCUUUUUUUCUGUUGCCACCUGCUCAUGUAACCUGCACUGUUAUAGAUUUUUCCCUGGCAGGUAGGCCUCAAUAUACAUAUAUACAAUGCCUAGGAGAAACUGAACCUAGGUGGUAAGGUUUCACACUGCUCUAAGAAACACUGAUUUUUAUGAACAGUCCAGAUACAGAUAUUAUGGUUUCUAAGGACUGUAACCUUGAACAAAGACAUUUUUUUCUCUGAAAUAUUCUGAGAACUUUUAUAGCAGCCACAAGAAAGAAUAGCCCUAUGUGCUUUUGAGAGAGGACUGGGCUUCAUGACUUGGUUCUUUUCUGUUACAAUUAGUCUACUUCAUUUGCCCUCUAUUAUGCAAUACAAUGAACUCAUUGUAGCAUCACUGUGUAAGUGGCUCUCACUAUCAUUUUGUACAGGAUCAAUGCUUUUCCUCAUCUAAGCAGGCAAAAAUAAAAAUUCCUCUUACUAUCCCUCAUAUUAAAGUAUCAUCAAAGCCCACUGUCUUGGUUUCAGUUUUCUGUUGACCAAGUAUUGGACUUUCAACACAUGAUUUUUCCUAUGAAAGCAAGCAUAUAGCUCAGGAGUGUCUUCCCACUUGCAGAGGAGGAUCUAGGGAAUGCUUUCCUUGUCACCAGCAUUUCCACCCUGUACAUAACAAUAAAUGGAGUUUUGCAGUUACUAAUAAUCCCUCUUCGAGAAAGAGCAAGCAGUUCCCCCUGAGGUUGCUAUUAAUACCUCAUUAUGAGAUUAUGAUAAGAGGUCUCCCUGCAGUCUGCCAGCGAAACAGCUGUUGGAGAAGGUGUGUUGGUACUGCUCAGUGCUGUAAUGUUUUGAUAAUCCCAUUCUAGAAGAUCAAGUCAAUUAUCAUUUGCAGCAUGUCCAGGUGCCAGUCAGCUGAAGACCGAAGAGUUCUGGCAUGACGUUUGAACCUGGCCUUUUUCAUGUCAGCAUGACCACUGGGCUGCUAAUGUGAAUCUGCAUUUUUUGGAACCUACCUACUUUGAUAGUAGCAUUAGUGUAUUAGGAGGCAAAGUCAGUUUAUUACAGUAACUGCAACAUUGACAAGGUUAAGAUUAUAAUUGAGAAAUGUUAAUAUGGGAAAGGAGAAAAACAGUCCUUCAUGAAGUUUGAAGAGCACAUCCUACUGUAUCUCCCACUCAGAAGUCCUUAUGUAUAGAUGGAUGAUUGGAGGGGGGAUUUCUGCUUGAGAUGAGUAAAAAAAUCUGCAUGUUUGUUUA